GAGCUGGCCUGGCCGCCCCUGCGCGCGGAGGAGCCUCGUGGACGGGGGGUGCAGGCGGUGCUGCAGGCGGUGCUGCAGGUGGUGCCGCAGGUGGUGCUGCAGGUGCACCCGACUGCCGAAGCCCCAGCGAGCCCGGGUAUCCAGGUGCUGCAGGCCCAGCCGGCAGAUCGUGCCUCCUACAUCAGUGCCAACCCCGGUGCCGCAGCACCAGCCUGACCGGCUUCCCUCUCCACCCGUGGCUCCAAGGCCAGAGUCAGGCAGCCACGAACCACUUCCGCUGGUUGCUGAUGUCCAAGCUCACGUAGACCCUUGAGCUGCUCCAGCUUGUCCCUCCCGGUCACCGGUGACUCCAGCAUCCACGCCCAUCCAGUGCGGGUCUCGUGGCCCUGCCACUGACCCAGGAGCACCCUUGCAUCUGGCCGGCAGUCCCCUUUCUGCUCUGCUGCAUGGGCGGUUACAGGUCAGGCCCGGUGUUCAGCACAGUCCACCUGGAGCCGUGCAGGUAGGCUCUGCACAGCCCCACGGAGGCCUCCUAGGUGGGCACAAGGACGUCCUGUUGGUGGAGGAAAUUGCAGUGUUCUGGUGUCUGUGCUUGGAGACGGGGGACCCAGAAAGGGUUGUAAGGUGCUGAUAGUUGAAGCUGGCUGCUGGGCACCCAGGGCCCAUUAGGGGCCCCCUACUCUUACACGUUUGAGAUUGUCCAUUAAAAAAAAAAAGACACUAGAGCCCUUUGACUGUUCCCUGUUCCUCGUGUGUCAUCCCUUCCGCCUCACAGGACUGUCAUCAAAGUCCUCACUGGGUUAGCCGGCCGCCCUACCAAGACAGCACGGCCCAGGGGCUCCCAGCAGCUGCAGUCUUCCCACCCUGCAGGAUGGGGACAGGUCUGGUGUCUCUUCCUCUCCGUUAACCUAUGCAAAUGCAGUCACGUUGGGGGUCCAGGUUCAACCUAUGAAUUUGGGGGGGUAUUCAGUCCACAGCCCUCACCCACCUCCAGAAGGGUCUGCUGGGCACGGGCGCCCUACUACGUCUCCCCGUCCCACUUGUGUGGCCGUGUGGCUGAACACCAACCUCAGCCACUGACGACGACAAAGCUCCCUGGGGGCAGACCCCAUGCUGGAAGGAAUCUGGGCCCCUGAGUGGCCCAGGGACGUGGCUGCUGCCCCCUGGGCUCUUCACAUUGGGGCUUCUGCACAAUAAAUAAAAUUCUGUCUUUUCUAAGCCAC